AUGCAGAGCCAUGGUGUGGUUCUUGUUUCAUUUCAGUUUUGGGAGGUCAUCAGUGAUGAGCAUGGGAUCGACCCCACAGGCAGUUACCAUGGAGACAGUGACUUGCAGCUGGAGAGAAUCAACGUGUACUACAAUGAGGCUGCUGGUAACAAAUACAUACCUCGGGCCAUCCUAGUGGAUCUGGAGCCUGGAAUUAGGGACUCCAUCAGGUCUGGACUAUUCAGCCAGAUCUUCAGGCCAGACAACUUCGUGUUUGGCCAGAGCGGAGCUGGGAAUAACUGGGCCAGAGGGAGCUGAGCUAGUCGACUCAGUCCUGGACGUGGUGAGGAAGGAGUCAGAGAGCUGUGACUGUCUCCAGGGCUUCCAGCCGACCCACUCUCUGGGGGGCGGCACGGGGUCCGGGAUGGGCACCCUGCUCAUCAGCAAGAUCCGGGAAGAGUACCCAGACCGCAUCAUGAACACCUUCAGCGUCAUGCCCUCACCCAAGGUGUCAGACACGGUGGUGGAGCCCUACAACGCCACCCUCUCUGUCCAUCAGCUGGUGGAAAACACAGAUGAAACCUACUCCAUUGAUAACGAAGCCCUGUACGACAUCUGCUUCCGCACCCUGAAGCUGACCACCCCCACCUACGGGGACCUCAACCACCUGGUGUCGGCCACCAUGAGCGGGGUCACCACCUGCCUGCGCUUCCUGGGCCAGCUGAACGCAGACCUGCGCAAGCUGGCGGUGAACAUGGUGCCCUUCCCGCUUCUGCACUUCUUCAUGCCCGGCUUCGCGCCCCUCACCAGCCGGGGCAGCCAGCAGUACCGCGCGCUCACGGUGCCCGAGCUCACCCAGCAGAUGACAUGCCCUUGCCUAGCAUCCAUACACUAA